AAGGAUUUAAGUUAAAUAAACUUGUAGCCUUCAAAGCUACCUAUAGAGGACUGCCCCCUUUAAGCCUUA
rnacentral:tRNA from 1 species